GACGAACGCUGGCGGCGUGCUUAACACAUGCAAGUCGAACGGAAAGGCCCUGCUUUUGUGGGGUGCUCGAGUGGCGAACGGGUGAGUAACACGUGAGUAACCUGCCCUUGACUUUGGGAUAACUUCAGGAAACUGGGGCUAAUACCGGAUAGGAGCUCCUGCUGCAUGGUGGGGGUUGGAAAGUUUCGGCGGUUGGGGAUGGACUCGCGGCUUAUCAGCUUGUUGGUGGGGUAGUGGCUUACCAAGGCUUUGACCGGUAGCCGGCCUGAGAGGGUGACCGGCCACAUUGGGACUGAGAGACGGCCCAGACUCCUACGGGAGGCAGCAGUGGGGAAUAUUGCACAAUGGGCGGAAGCCUGAUGCAGCAACGCCGCGUGCGGGAUGACGGCCUUCGGGUUGUAAACCGCUUUCGCCUGUGACGAAGCGUGAGUGACGGUAAUGGGUAAAGAAGCACCGGCUAACUACGUG
rnacentral:rRNA from 1 species